rnacentral:rRNA from 1 species
CAGUCGCCACGGUAAUACGUAGGGUGCAAGCGUUAAUCGGAAUUACUGGGCGUAAAGCGUGCGUAGGCGGCUUUUUAAGUCGGAUGUGAAAUCCCUGAGCUUAACUUAGGAAUUGCAUUCGAUACUGGGAAGCUAGAGUAUGGGAGAGGAUGGUAGAAUUCCAGGUGUAGCGGUGAAAUGCGUAGAGAUCUGGAGGAAUACCGAUGGCGAAGGCAGCCAUCUGGCCUAAUACUGACGCUGAGGUACGAAAGCAUGGGGAGCAAACAGGAUUAGAUACCCCAGUAGUCCCUGUCUCUUAUAC